GGUCCAGUCUGGCUCAGCUGGUAGAGCAAGGCAUUAACACUAGCCAGGGUUAGGGGUUCAAUUCCUACCGGGGCUGCCCA